CCUCUGGUCAGGACAGAACCAAGUACAUACUUGACUGAAGGACAAAAAGUACAAUUUUUGAGGUCUCUAUCAUGAACUGUGUAAUGGUUUCUUUUUUCCUGAUUUAAUUACUUCUGGAGAUUGAUUUACCUAUACAAAGAAGGAAUUAGAUGUACUGUGGGUUGAUGGUGUAUGUCUGUUUAUCCAAGAGUAACCUUGAACUUGUGGUUGUCUGGAAUUAUAGCAUAUGCUGCCGUGCGUGGUUUGAUAGAGUGCUGAGGAAAGGAUGGAAGGUGUCCUACCCGCUGCUCUACAUCCCCAGCCCUCCCCAACUCUCACCGGCAGGCUAUCCAACAGAGCUUUGCACUGUUUACAUGUGACUUCAUUUGGACCCACAAUCUGCAUUAAACCAUUCUCUUUCCUGCUAAGAGUAUCUAUCUUACUAACAACAUCUCCAUUAAAGGGCAUGCCAUUCUCUUUCCUAUUAAGAGUAUCUUACUGGGGUUGGGGAUUUAGCUCAGUGGUAGAGCGCUUGCCUAGGAAGCGCAAGGCCCUGGGUUCGGUCCCCAGCUCCGAAAAAAAGAACCAAAAAAAAAAAAAAAAAA
rnacentral:lncRNA from 1 species